GCAAGUCGAACGGUGAAAGAGAUCUUGCUCUCUGGAUCAGUGUCGAACGGGUGGGUAACCCGUGAGCAAUCUGCCCUUUACUCUGUGAUAAGCGUUGGAAACGACGUCUAAUACCGGAUACGAGCUGUGAAGGCAUCUUCAACAGCUGGAAAGAACUUCGGUCAAGGAUGAGCUCGCGGCCUAUCAGCUAGUUGGUGAGGUAAUGGCUCACCAAGGCGUCGACGGGUAGCCGGCCUGAGAGGGUGACC
rnacentral:rRNA from 1 species